rnacentral:ncRNA from 2 species
AUUGUAUAUGGUUAUUCUUUUCGUAUAAUUGCAGGGAUAUGGCCUGCUAGUCUCUACCAAGCUUCCGUAAAGAGCUUGACUACGAAAAAUCAAUCUACCCCU